rnacentral:rRNA from 1 species
AAUGAACGCUGGCGGCGUGCGUAACACAUGCAAGUCGAACGAGAAAUUCCGGGCUUGCUCGGGAGAGUAAAGUGGCGAACGGGUGAGUAACGCGUGGGUAACCUGCCCCUGAAUCUGGAAUAACUUCGCGAAAGCGAGGCUAAUACCGGAUAUUGUCCCAGGGACUGUGGCCCUUGUGAUGAAAGAUGACCUCUUCACGAAAGUUGUCGUUCAGGGAGGGGCCCGCGUACCAUUAGCUAGUUGGUAGGGUAACGGCCUACCAAGGCGAUGAUGGUUAGCUGGUCUGAGAGGAUGACCAGCCACACUGGCACUGAAACACGGGCCAGACUCCUACGGGAGGCAGCAGUGAGGAAUUUUGCGCAAUAGGGGAAACCCUGACGCAGCAACGCCGCGUGAGUGAAGAAGGCCCUCGGGUCGUAAAGCUCUGUCAAGUGGGAAAAAAGCUUACUGGUGAACAGCCAGGAAGACUGAUGGUACCAUUGAAGGAAGCACCGGCUAACUCUGUGCCAGCCGCCGCCGUAACAC